CUUCUAGCUCGGCAGGGCGCAGCAUCCCAGGGCCUCAGGUCCUUAGGCGUCUGGGCCCCUCCUGUGCAUCAGGGCCUUGGCCCUCUACCAACAGGCCCU
rfam:Canis lupus familiaris chromosome 24, whole genome shotgun sequence.